GUGCACCAGUCGCGAAACUUUACAAUGUGCGAAAGCACGAUAAGGGAACUCUGAGUGCCUCCUAAGGAGGCUGUUCUGAUGUCUAAAAGCAACAGAAGUAAGGGCUGGGUAAGACCGGUGCCAGCCGCCGCGGUAACACCGGCAGCCCAAGUGGUAGCCACGUUUAUUGGGUCUAAAGCGUUCGUAGCCGGGCCAGGUAAGUUCCUUGGUAAAUUUAGCCGCUUAACGGUUAAGCUUUCAGGGAAUACUGCUUGGCUUGGGACUGGGAGAGGUCAGAGGUACUCCGGGGGUAGGGUGAAAUCUAUUAAUCCCUGGGGGACCACCGGUAGCGAAGGCGUCUGACCAGACCAGGUCCGACGGUGAGGGACGAAGGCUAGGGGCGCGAACCGGAUUAGAUACCCCUGUAGU
rnacentral:rRNA from 1 species